rnacentral:rRNA from 1 species
GACGAAGGGGGCUAGCGUUGUUCGGAAUUACUGGGCGUAAAGCGCGCGCAGGCGGACGUUUAAGUAGGGCGUGAAAUCUCCCGGCCUAACUGGGAGGGGUCGCUCUAGACUGGGCGUCUUGAGGACUGCAGAGGUGGGUGGAAUUCCUGGUGUAGUGGUGAAAUGCGUAGAGAUCAGGAGGAACACCGGUGGCGAAGGCGGCCCACUGGGCAGUCACUGACGCUGAGGCGCGAAAGCUCGGGGAGCGAACGGG